CUCAGCAAUUUAAACUUAGGAACUUUGGACUUAGUGCGCAGGCUUAGUAGGCUAAUCAAUACAAACUUCUCUGCCCUGAGCUGCAUAAAGCUGGAGUUAGUUACACAUCUGAUUCAUGAUACGAAGGGGAGUCACAUACAAGGGGGAACACAUGGUCUUGCUGAGUGAAUCUGGACUCCUACCAGCUUUGUAUCGUAGGUGUACUUGCUGAGGUGGACACUAUCCCCUCAUCAAGGUCAUCAAUGAAGAUACUGAACAAGACCAGACCCAGCACUGACCCCUACGGAGUACUGCUAGUCACAGGUUUCCAAUUGACUCUGUGCCACCGAUCACCAUCCUCUGAGCUUUGCCAGUCAGCCAGUUCUCAACCCACCUCACCAUCUACUCAUCUAUCCCACACAUUCUCAGCUUCAUUAUCAGGAUGUCGUGGGAAACAGUAUCAAAAACCUUAUUUCAUCAAAAAUCUCUGAUGAAUACCUUGAGAACUCACUGAGAAUUGAACCAGACAGUGAUGAAUUAGUUUCACAAAAAACUCAGAUAUUGUAUUAGUUUUAUGUUUUUGUUGCUCUUUUUUAAGUUUUAAUUAAAAAUGCAUAUAAAAAUAAGUUUUGUAACUCAUAUGAAUUAACUCCAUUAUGUAUUUUAUAUGCAACUCAAGACAGUUUCUCUCAGUGCAUCUCAGACAAGCCAAAGUUGGACACACAUGAGUUAAUGGAAAUAGGUUGCUUGGAAAGGGGAUCAGUUUGUUUCAGGACCCAUCAGUACAGAUCCCUUGAUAACCUGUAGGGUGGGUCUGGGUCUAGAGGAGAUACAUUUUCUAGUUGACACCAGAGCCUCCCAAUCCUUGUUAAAAUUUCUUCCCAGAAAGUGUGAUGGAGAUGACUCUCAGGUAUACCUUAAGUAAUUCACAGGGUCACUGGGAGGGAUGAAAAGGUACACAUCCUUCAACCACUGUUAAUAGAUGUGGGAGAUAAAUUUGAGAUGCAUGAGUUUUUGUAUGUACCAAAUUGCAACUGUUAUCUACUGAGAAGGGAUUUAAGGGCUAAAUUGGGAAUGCAAAUAAAUAUAACCAAGGGAAAAACUGAAUCUCAUACUGUAGUAACCCUGCAUAAAUUAUUGGAAAAAGCCUGGGCAGAAGUUUACCCUAGGGUUUGGGCUACACCCAGAAAUUUUGAGAGUUUGGAAACUGAACCCCUCCAAAUUACACUGAAACAACAAAGACAAAUAGAUUCCAGGAAACAACAGCCUACCUCACAGGAAGGAAGGAAGUCAGCAAAAGGGAGUCGACAUAAGGGAGGGAGAGAGAGAGAGAGGAAGAGGGAUGAUUUAAGUACAAAGGAUGCCUUUGAGGCAAGCGCUAAGACUUAAUGGCAGUGACAGAUUUGGAAGAAGCAUACAGGGAAGACCCAAAUAAGAUAGCUCAGGUGAAGAAUUGUAGGUGUCAGGUAACAAAACAAAACAAAAAAAAAAAAAAAAAAAAGGUAGAUUGAAGGGAAGGGAACAAAGGGAACAAAAAUGCUGUAAUUUUGGUAGUUGUAUUAGCUCAAGCACAAACCUUAUUUGAGGAAGAGUCUUCAUGUUUUCCCCAAGAAUGAGAAGGAGAAAAUGCAGAGGAAUGAGGAAGUUAAAACUCUUACUUUAAACAGAGGCAAUGUACUGCAUGUUAAACACUUGAAACAACCAGUGAACAAAUUUUCUGUCAGCAAUUAGUGCCACAGGAAAACAAAAGGUUGGACCCUUCUUUCAAACAAUUAAGAUUAAG
ensembl:lncRNA